rnacentral:rRNA from 1 species
AGUGAACGCUGGCGGUAGGCCUAACACAUGCAAGUCGAACGGCAGCACAGUAAGAGCUUGCUCUUACGGGUGGCGAGUGGCGGACGGGUGAGGAAUACAUCGGAAUCUACUUUUUCGUGGGGGAUAACGUAGGGAAACUUACGCUAAUACCGCAUACGACCUACGGGUGAAAGCAGGGGAUCUUCGGACCUUGCGCGAUUGAAUGAGCCGAUGUCGGAUUAGCUAGUUGGCGGGGUAAAGGCCCACCAAGGCGACGAUCCGUAGCUGGUCUGAGAGGAUGAUCAGCCACACUGGAACGGAAACAGGGUCCAGACUCCUACGGGAGGCAGCAGAGGGGAAUAUUGGACAAUGGGCGCAAGCCUGAUCCAGCCAGACCGCGUGGGAGAAGAAGGCCUUCGGGUUGUAAAGCCCUUUUGUUGGGAAAGAAAAGCAGCAGGUUAAUACCCCGCUGUUCUGACGGUACCCAAAGAAUAAGCACCGGCUAACUUCGUG